rnacentral:rRNA from 1 species
AUGAAGCUCCUAUGUUGGAACAUUAGGGGCUUCGGCCUCAGUGGCCGGCGUCGGCAGCUCAUCGAGUAUUUGCGGCAAGAAGAGAUUGACAUUGUGGGACAUCAGGAGACGAUUCGCCAGGAUUUUAGCAUGCAUGAUCUCCAGGGGCUCUCCCGCCACCAGUUUGCCUGGCAGUGGUUGCCUGCUACAGGACAAUACGUAGGCAUCCUGCUCGGGGUCAGGGAGGAUGUUUUCUCGGUUGAGGAUAUGGACCGAGGGGAGUUCUACCUGAGCAUGUCCAUCACCGACCUACGAGUUCACCUCAGCUGGGAGGUGAUUUUUGUCUAUGGUCCUGCGGAUCAUGUGCGCUCUGCCGACUUCCUGGCCGAGCUGAAAAAUAAGGUUGAGCGGUGCACCACUCGGGUGGUGGUGGCCGGGGACUUCAACCUCAUUAGGUGGGCUUCAGAUAAAAGCUCCCCUGAUGUUGAUGUGUCCGCAUGCGUCUAUUUAACGACUGCAUUGCGAACCUUGCUCUUCGUGAGAUAG